UACGUAGGGGGCAAGCGUUGUCCGGAUUUAUUGGGCGUAAAGAGCUCGUAGGCGGUUUGGUAAGUCUGGUGUGAAAUCUCCACGCUCAACGUGGAGGGGCCACCCGAUACUGCCAUGACUGGAGUCCGGUAGAGGAGUGUGGAAUUCCCGGUGUAGCGGUGAAAUGCGCAGAUAUCGGGAAGAACACCGGUGGCGAAGGCGGCUCUCUGGACCUAUCCUGACGCUCAGGCGCGAAAGCUAGGGGAGCGAACAGG
rnacentral:rRNA from 1 species